rnacentral:rRNA from 1 species
AGUCGAGCGCUGAUUACGGGGUAGCAAUAUCUCGUAGUCGGAGCGGCGCAAGGGUGCGUAACACGUGGGUAAUCUGCCAUGAAGUUUGGGAUAACUCGCUGAAAGGCGAGCUAAUACCGGAUGUGACGAUCGGGAGGCAUCUUCUGAUCUUCAAAGUUGGGGACCGUAAGGCCUGACGCUUCAUGAUGAGCCCGCGGCCUAUCAGCUAGUUGGUGAGGUAACGGCUCACCAAGGCUAAGACGGGUAGCUGGUCUGAGAGGACGACCAGCCACACUGGAACUGAGACACGGUCCAGACACCUACGGGUGGCAGCAGUCGAGAAUUUUUCACAAUGGGGGAAACCCUGAUGGAGCGACGCCGCGUGGGGGAUGAAUGGCUUCGGCCCGUAAACCCCUGUCAUUCGCGAACAAUGCCUGUGGUCUAAUAAAUCACAGGUUGAUAGUAGCGGAAGAGGAAGGGACGGCUAACUCUGUGCCAGCAGCCGCGGUAAUACAGAGGUCCCAAGCGUUGUUCGGAUUCACUGGGCGUAAAGGGUGCGUAGGCGGUCGGGUAAGUCUGAUGUGAAAUCUCGGAGCUCAACUCCGAAACUGCAUUGGAUACUAUUCGGCUUGAGGUCUGGAGGGGGGACUGGAAUUCUCGGUGUAGCAGUGAAAUGCGUAGAUAUCGAGAGGAACACCAGUGGCGAAGGCGAGUCCCUGGACAGGUCCUGACGCUGAGGCACGAAAGCUAGGGGAGCAAACA